CUAAUACAUGCAAGUCGAGCGAUGAUAAAAGAUAGCUUGCUAUUUUAUGAAAAGCGGGGGAACGGUUGAGUACGCGGUGGGAAUCUUGCCGAGUAGCGGGGGACACGUUUGGAAACGACGCCUAAUACGCAUUACAAUUGAGAAUCGCAUGAUUUUAUUUUAAAGAAGCCAAUGCUUCACUACUUGAUGAUCCCGCGUUGUAUUAGCUAGUNGGUAGUGUAAAGGACUACCAAGGCGAUGAUACAUAGCCGACCUGAGAGGGUGAUCGGCCACACUGGGACUGAGACACGGCCCAGACUCCUACGGAGGGCAGCAGUAGGNAAUCUUCGGCAAUGGGGGCAACCCUGACCGAGCAACGCGNCGUGAGUGAAGAAGGUUUUCGGAUCGUAAAACUCUGUGUUUAGAGAAGAACGUUAAGUAGAGUGGAAAAUUACUUAAGUGACGGUAUCUAACCAGAAAGGGACGGCUAACUACGUGCCAGCAGCCGCGGUAAUACGUAGGUCCCAAGCGUUGUCCGGAUUUAUUGGGCGUAAAGCGAGCGCAGGUGGUUUCUUAAGUCUGAUGUAAAAGGCAGUGGCUCAACCAUUGUGUGCAUUGGAAACUGGGAGACUUGAGUGCAGGAGAGGAGAGUGGAAUUCCAUGUGUAGCGGUGAAAUGCGUAGAUAUAUGGAGGAACACCGGAGGCGAAAGCGGCUCUCUGGCCUGUAACUGACACUGAGGCUCGAAAGCGUGGGGAGCAAACAGGAUUAGAUACCCUGGUAGUCCACGCCGUAAACGAUGAGUGCUAGCUGUAGGGAGC
rnacentral:rRNA from 3 species